CAGUGAUAGGAGUUAAACCAAGGAGCUUCAAGUUAUAGGAUUGGAUCAGACUCUUUCUAUUUCCUAUUCCUAAGGUGAAAUGGGUAGCAAUGGGAUAAUAUUCCUUUAAUCUAUUGACAAUAAAAAAGGAGUUAGGUGAGGAAUGCAACCUAAGCGAGUAGUUGCUAAACAUGUACAAUAGUGUCCUAAACUAUCUUAUCAAACUGAGGAAAGAAGCUGGUAAAUAAUAAGUUGAUUGAAGUCGAUUUAAUGGUUUAUAUAGGUAUGAUAAUUAAAAAUAAUAAUUGAUGAUGUAUAGAGACUUUAGGUUAGAUAGUAUAGAUGGUGGAGUGGUAGUCUGGAUUAUUAUAAGGAAUCAGACAAAUAUUUUAGUGUG
rnacentral:misc_RNA from 1 species